rnacentral:rRNA from 1 species
AGGACGAACGCUGGCGGCGUGCUUAACACAUGCAAGUCGAGCGGAAAGGCCCUUCGGGGUACUCGAGCGGCGAACGGGUGAGUAACACAUGAGUAACCUGCCCCUAGCUCUGGGAUAGCUCCGGGAAACCGGGAUUAAUACCAGAUACGACCACUUUAGACAUCUGUCGUGGUGGAAAGGAUUCCGGCUAGGGAUGGGCUCGCGGCCUAUCAGCUUGUUGGUGGGGUAACGGCCUACCAAGGCGACGACGGGUAGCCGGCCUGAGAGGGCGACCGGCCACGACUGGGACUGAGACACGGCCCAGACUCCUACGGGAGGCAGCAGUGGGGAAUAUUGCGCAAUGGGCGAAAGCCUGACGCAGCGACGCCGCGUGGGGGAUGAAGGCCUUCGGGUUGUAAACCCUUUCAGCAGGACGAAGCGAAGUGACGGUACCUGCAGAAGAAGCGCCGGCUAACUACGUGCCAGCAGCCGC